AUUGAACGCUGGCGGCAUGCCUAACACAUGCAAGUCGAACGGAGUGGCGAACGGGUGAGUAAUGCCUCGGAACUUGCCCGGUCGCGGGGGAUAACUACGCGAAAGGGUAGCUAAUACCGCAUACUAUUGGAGCGGCCGAGGUCGGGUUAGCUAGUUGGUGGGGUAACGGCGUACCAAGGCGACGAUCCGUAGCUGGUCUGAGAGGACGAUCAGCCACACUGGGACUGAGACACGGCCCAGACUCCUACGGGAGGCAGCAGUGGGGAAUUUUGGACAAGGGGGGAAAGCCUGAUCCAGCCAUGCCGCGUGUGCGAUGAAGGCCUUCGGGUUGUAAAGCACUUUUGGCAGGGAAGCGGUACCUACAGAAUAAGCACCGGCUAACUACGUGCCAGCAGCCGCGGUAAUUC
rnacentral:rRNA from 1 species